rnacentral:rRNA from 1 species
GGUUAAGCGACUAAGCGUACACGGUGGAUGCCCUGGCAGUCAGAGGCGAUGAAGGACGUGCUAAUCUGCGAAAAGCGUCGGUAAGGUGAUAUGAACCGUUACAGCCGGCGAUGUCCGAAUGGGGAAACCCAGUGCAAUUCGUUGCACUAUCGUUUGAUGAAUACAUAGUCAAACGAGGCGAACCGGGGGAACUGAAACAUCUAAGUACCCCGAGGAAAAGAAAUCAACCGAGAUUCCCCCAGUAGCGGCGAGCGAACGGGGAGCAGCCCGGAGUCUGAAUCAGCUUGUGUGUUAGUGGAAGCGUCUGGAAAGUCGCAGGGUACAGGGUGAUACUCCCGUACACUAAAACGCACAGGUUGUGAACUCGAAGAGUAGGGCGGGACACGUGGUAUCCUGUCUGAAUAUGGGGGGACCAUCCUCCAAGGCUAAAUACUCCUGACUGACCGAUAGUGAACCAGUACCGUGAGGGAAAGGCGAAAAGAACCCCGGCGAGGGGAGUGAAAAAGAACCUGAAACCGUGUACGUACAAGCAGUAGGAGCCCACUAGUUGGGUGACUGCGUACCUUUUGUAUAAUGGGUCAGCGACUUAUAUUCUGUAGCAAGGUUAACCGUAUAGGGGAGCCGCAGGGAAACCGAGUCUUAACUGGGCGUUAAGUUGCAGGGUAUAGACCCGAAACCCGGUGAUCUAGCCAUGGGCAGGUUGAAGGUUGGGUAACACUAACUGGAGGACCGAACCGACUAAUGUUGAAAAAUUAGCGGAUGACUUGUGGCUGGGGGUGAAAGGCCAAUCAAACCGGGAGAUAGCUGGUUCUCCCCGAAAGCUAUUUAGGUAGCGCCUCGUGAAUUCAUCUUCGGGGGUAGAGCACUGUUUCGGCUAGGGGGUCAUCCCGACUUACCAACCCGAUGCAAACUACGAAUACCGAAGAAUGUUAUCACGGGAGACACACGGCGGGUGCUAACGUCCGUCGUGAAGAGGGAAACAACCCAGACCGCCAGCUAAGGUCCCAAAGUCAUGGUUAAGUGGGAAACGAUGUGGGAAGGCCCAGACAGCCAGGAUGUUGGCUUAGAAGCAGCCAUCAUUUAAAGAAAGCGUAAUAGCUCACUGGUCGAGUCGGCCUGCGCGGAAGAUGUAACGGGGCUAAACCAUGCACCGAAGCUGCGGCAGCGACGCUUAUGCGUUGUUGGGUAGGGGAGCGUUCUGUAAGCCGUUGAAGGUGGCCUGUGAGGGUUGCUGGAGGUAUCAGAAGUGCGAAUGCUGACAUAAGUAACGAUAAUGCGGGUGAAAAACCCGCACGCCGGAAGACCAAGGGUUCCUGUCCAACGUUAAUCGGGGCAGGGUGAGUCGACCCCUAAGGCGAGGCCGAAAGGCGUAGUCGAUGGGAAACAGGUUAAUAUUCCUGUACUCGGUGUUACUGCGAAGGGGGGACGGAGAAGGCUAUGUUGGCCGGGCGACGGUUGUCCCGGUUUAAGCAUGUAGGCGGAUGUUCCAGGUAAAUCCGGAACGUUAUUAACGCUGAGGUGUGAUGACGAGGCACUACGGUGCUGAAGUGACAAAUGCCCUGCUUCCAGGAAAAGCCUCUAAGCAUCAGGUAACAUCAAAUCGUACCCCAAACCGACACAGGUGGUCAGGUAGAGAAUACCAAGGCGCUUGAGAGAACUCGGGUGAAGGAACUAGGCAAAAUGGUGCCGUAACUUCGGGAGAAGGCACGCUGAUGGUAGGUGAAGCGACUUGCUCGUGGAGCUGAAAUCAGUCGAAGAUACCAGCUGGCUGCAACUGUUUAUUAAAAACACAGCACUGUGCAAACACGAAAGUGGACGUAUACGGUGUGACGCCUGCCCGGUGCCGGAAGGUUAAUUGAUGGGGUUAUCCGUAAGGAGAAGCUCUUGAUCGAAGCCCCGGUAAACGGCGGCCGUAACUAUAACGGUCCUAAGGUAGCGAAAUUCCUUGUCGGGUAAGUUCCGACCUGCACGAAUGGCGUAAUGAUGGCCAGGCUGUCUCCACCCGAGACUCAGUGAAAUUGAACUCGCUGUGAAGAUGCAGUGUACCCGCGGCAAGACGGAAAGACCCCGUGAACCUUUACUAUAGCUUGACACUGAACACUGGUCCUUGAUGUGUAGGAUAGGUGGGAGGCUUUGAAGUGUGGACGCCAGUCUGCAUGGAGCCAUCCUUGAAAUACCACCCUUUAAUGGCUGGUGUUCUAACGUGGGCCCGUAAUCCGGGUUGCGGACAGUGUCUGGUGGGUAGUUUGACUGGGGCGGUCUCCUCCUAAAGAGUAACGGAGGAGCACGAAGGUCAGCUAAUCCUGGUCGGACAUCAGGAGGUUAGUGCAAUGGCAUAAGCUGGCUUGACUGCGAGCGUGACGGCGCGAGCAGGUGCGAAAGCAGGUCAUAGUGAUCCGGUGGUUCUGAAUGGAAGGGCCAUCGCUCAACGGAUAAAAGGUACUCCGGGGAUAACAGGCUGAUACCGCCCAAGAGUUCAUAUCGACGGCGGUGUUUGGCACCUCGAUGUCGGCUCAUCACAUCCUGGGGCUGAAGUAGGUCCCAAGGGUAUGGCUGUUCGCCAUUUAAAGUGGUACGCGAGCUGGGUUUAGAACGUCGUGAGACAGUUCGGUCCCUAUCUGCCGUGGGCGCUGGAGAAUUGAGGGGGGCUGCUCCUAGUACGAGAGGACCGGAGUGGACGCAUCACUGGUGUUCGGGUUGUCAUGCCAAUGGCAUUGCCCGGUAGCUAAAUGCGGAAGAGAUAAGUGCUGAAAGCAUCUAAGCACGAAACUUGCCCCGAGAUGAGUUCUCCCUGACCCUUUAAGGGUCCUGAAGGAACGUUGAAGACGACGACGUUGAUAGGCCGGGUGUGUAAGCGCAGCGAUGCGUUGAGCUAACCGGUACUAAUGAACCGUGAGGCUUAACCUU